CUUGGAUGGAGGAACCCCAAGGUUUACCAAACCCUCCCAACCCUCCCCAUACUCCGAUCCACAGGAGGAGCAUUGGGCCCGCCUCGCUCAGAACGAGAGAUUCCCGAAACCUUUGACCUGCCCCGAUGAGGUUUACGAGAUCAUGAAGCUGUGCUGGCAGAGUGAUCCACAACAGAGAAUACCUUUCAGAGACAUUGUUAAGGAAUUGAUAAGGAUCAGGGCUUCUUAAUAGGUCAGCACCAGAGAAACUGAUGUGACCCUAUUUUGGAUAUAUCCCUGAAAGGAACGGGGUUUCGCCUGGAACAAAUAACAAACUCCAGGUUUAGCUAAUCUCAGCUCAAAAAUGAAAAAUGCUUUUUCAAUGGAGAUAUACCUGUGAAGUUAAUAGUUGUUAUCAUUAUUCAGUUCUAUGUUUGUGAUUUUAUUGCAUAAUGUCAUAUUAAGAAAACAUGUGGAAAUUGGUCUACUAUCUUGCCAUACUCAAUUUUAUCUGAACAAACUUUCAAGCAGGCUAUGAUCGAUAUUUGUUAAAAUUUUUGGAGGUUUUCUUUAAUUGAAUAUAACAUAUUGUUAUGUAUUCGUAUUUUCAUAUCUCUUGGUUAAAGCUGUGUUUUUGUUGUAAAUGUGAAUACCUGAACAAGACUCAUGUUUCCAGACAACACCACAUAUUUUCAUUGUGAUGAAAGACUGUUAAGUGCUACAAUACUAAUCAUUGGAAAGUCCUGUGAUAUUGUCUAAGAUAUGUAAUGUUAUUAUACAUCACGUGACCUGCCCAUGUUAAUUUCUCAUACACCCAUCAUGGGCAAUUUCUUACUGUCACACUGACAGUACCGUUUUGACCGGUUGACAUUAUUACUGUCACAUAGCACGCGUGUCUAAAAAUAGGCGUUUUUUUUGUUUCCCAAGUCUGAGGUGGUAAGCGCUUAUUAAAAUGUGUUGUAAAUCUGGGUACAACCGGUGUUUGCAUUAUUUCUAAGCGACAUUUGCAACAAAAUGACAGCUAAUAUAAACAAACAAUAAUUACAGAAUAAAUUGAUUGAACUUGAAGGUUGUGUAAUGGUAAAAAAUCUUUAUAUAUGUAUAUAAAUGUAACUGUGUUCUGUAUAAUAAAAUAAAUAUUGCAUGACUUCCAGUGUGACAGUAGAUAUUGUCAACAUUCGGGUAAAUACUGUUAUCCUCGGCUUCGCCUCGGGUAACAGUAUUUCCCUAAUGUUGACAAUAUUUACUGUCACACUGGAACCCAUGCAAUAUUUAUAUAAUAUUUAAUGGUUCGUUGAAGGGACAUAUUUCGUUACAGAUACUUAGAAAUGCAAAGUUAACAUUACUUAGAAAUGCAAAGUUAACAGUAAAUGAGCCAGUAGCUAACGUUUGUAACCUAGGCAAUAUUGCUAUACCUUGUUUCGAUGGGAAUGAACUCCUGCUUUGAUGUCAAAUGACCUGUAAUUUUUAAAUGACAUUUGACCUAAAUAAAAAACAUCUUUAGAUUAAUCAAAGUGGUCGUUUCUACCAACGAUCUAGCAUAACAUAUGAACUACUGCAGUUUAAGGUAUUGUGAGAUCACUAA